rnacentral:rRNA from 1 species
CAGCCGCCACGGUAAUACGAAGGGUGCAAGCGUUACUCGGAAUUACUGGGCGUAAAGCGUGCGUAGGUUGUGGUUUAAGUCCGUUGUGAAAGCCCUGGGCUCAACCUGGGAAUUGCAGUGGAUACUGGGUCACUAGAGUGUGUAGAGGAUAGUGGAAUUUCCGGUGUAGCAGUGAAAUGCGUAGAGAUCGGAAGGAACAUCUGUGGCGAAGGCGACUAUCUGGGCCAACACUGACACUGAGGCACGAAAGCGUGGGGAGCAAACAGGAUUAGAUACCCGUGUAGUCCCUGUCUCUUAUACA